rnacentral:rRNA from 1 species
UACCAGCACCCCGAGUGGUCGGGACGUUUAUUGGGCCUAAAGCAUCCGUAGCCGGUUCUACAAGUCUUCCGUUAAAUCCAACUGCUUAACAGGUGGGCUGCGGAAGAUACUAUAGAGCUAGGAGGCGGGAGAGGCAAGCGGUACUCGAUGGGUAGGGGUAAAAUCCGUUGAUCCAUUGAAGACCACCAGUGGCGAAGGCGGCUCUCUGGGACGGUACUGACGCUGAGACGCGAAAGCGUGGGGAGCGAACAGG